UACAGAGGUCUCAAGCGUUGUUCGGAUUCAUUGGGCGUAAAGGGUGCGUAGGCGGCGCGGUAAGUCGGGUGUGAAAUCUCGGAGCUUAACUCCGAAACUGCAUUCGAUACUGCCGUGCUUGAGGACUGGAGAGGAGACUGGAAUUUACGGUGUAGCGGUGAAAUGCAUAGAUAUCGGGAAGAACACCAACGGCGAAAGCACUCUGCUGGGCCGACACUGACACUGAGAGACGAAAGCUAGGGGAGCGAAUGGG
rnacentral:rRNA from 1 species